rnacentral:misc_RNA from 1 species
CCAAUAUUCAAGUUCAAGAAAGGAGGCAACAACAGUAGAGACUUUGGAGAAAGAAGUUUCUGUGAAUGUGCAGUUUGCUUGAAUGAGUUUGAAGAAGAUGAGAAGUUGAGGAUAAUACCAAAUUGUCGCCAUGUUUUCCAUAUAGAUUGCAUUGAUGUUUGGCUUCAAAAUAAUGCGAAUUGCCCACUUUGCAGAAACAGCAUCUCAACCACCACGAGAUUCCCAACUGAUCACGUUAUAGCUCCAAGCUCUUCCCCACAAGAU